rnacentral:tRNA from 1 species
CCCCUCAUAACUCAGUCAGUAAAGAAUCUGCCUGCAAUGCAGGAGAUCCAGGUUCAAUUCCUGGGUCGGGA